rnacentral:rRNA from 1 species
CGACGCUUUGUCUUUAAUUGAUAUGAAGAGCUUGCUCUGAUUUGAUUCUAUCUGACAAAGAGUGGCGAACGGGUGAGUAACACGUGGGUAACCUACCUCUUAGCAGGGGAUAACAUUUGGAAACAAGUGCUAAUACCGUAUAAUACUAACAACCGCAUGGUUGUUAGUUGAAAGAUGGUUCUGCUAUCACUAAGAGAUGGACCCGCGGUGCAUUAGCUAGUUGGUAAGGUAAUGGCUUACCAAGGCGAUGAUGCGUAGCCGAGUUGAGAGACUGAUCGGCCACAAUGGGACUGAGACACGGCCCAUACUCCUACGGGAGGCAGCAGUAGGGAAUCUUCCACAAUGGGCGCAAGCCUGAUGGAGCAACGCCGCGUGUGUGAUGAAGGGUUUCGGCUCGUAAAACACUGUUAUAAGAGAAGAACGACAUUGAGAGUAACUGUUCAGUGUGUGACGGUAUCUUAUCAGAAAGGAACGGCUAAAUACGUGCCAGCAGCCGCGGUAAUACGUAUGUUCCAAGCGUUAUCCGGAUUUAUUGGGCGUAAAGCGAGCGCAGACGGUUAUUUAAGUCUGAAGUGAAAGCCCUCAGCUCAACUGAGGAAGGGCUUUGGAAACUGGAUAACUUGAGUGCAGUAGAGGAAAGUGGAACUCCAUGUGUAGCGGUGAAAUGCGUAGAUAUAUG